CCCGCCCCGCCCCGUAUCUCAGAACAUGAUCUUAAAGAAUUUGAAAAUAGCAUGUUUACAGAGGUAAGAGUGAAAAUGAGGUCAUUGGGAUGGGCCUACUCUAACGGACUGGUAACCUUAUAUAAACGUUAUACAAAAAGGAACUUUGGACACAGAGACAGACAUGCAUGGAAGGAAGAUGGGAUGAACACACACGGAAAGCAUAGCCAUGUGGAAAUGGAGACAGAGAUUGGAGUUUUUCUGUCACAAGCUGAGGAAUGCCUGGAGCCACCAGAAGCUAGGAGAGAGGCAUGGAAUAAAUUCUUCUUCAUAAUCCUUAGAAGGAACCAACUCUGCCAAUACUUUGACUUUGGACUUCUAGCCUCCAGAGCUGAGAAAAUAAUCUCUUGUUUAAGCCACCCAGCUUGUGAUAUUUUGUUAUAGCAGCCCUAGAGAACUGGCAUACUGUACUUGCAUCAAAGCUAGGAACUUUCAAUGUUUACACCAAUCCUUCACUGGUUAUUUGAGAAACAAAUUUUCCGAGCUUCUAAAAUGCCCUGAACUCUAUUCUCCACUCUGUUUCCUCUGCACAGCUGUGGAUGAAUGACAGACUUGUGACUGCUUUGCCCAAAAAAGUAUGAUGGAAGCGAUGCCAUGAGGCUAUGUCACUGAGGCUGGAUCACAAGACCAUGCCUUACCACUCUUCAGCACUGACACUCCAGGUGUCAGAUAUGUGAUUGAGGCCCUUGGCCAUCUGCCAGCUGCAUACAGCAGAGUGAUCACCAUCAACAUUUUGUGGAACGAUGUGGGCUCCUCAGCUGAGCCUAGUCCAGAUUCCUGACAGGUAACAUCAUAUAACAUAAUAAAAUGGUAGUUGUGUUGAACCAUUGGGUUUUAGAAUAAUUUGUUCCAUAGCAAUAGAUAAGUGGAACCCCUAAGGAUAGAAGUCAUAGUUUAUGAAUCAUUCCCACUUAUUGGUCUGGUGGAACAAUUGCAUGUGGAACUUUGGAGUGAGAUGUAGAACUUCAAGGGUUUCCUUCAUAAGUGGGAUUGUGAGAUUUCAGAAUAUCUUAAUAUACAGUAUUAUUGAAUGACAUUGGCUAUAUGGGAAAGUAGUCUGCCUGGGAAAGGAAUGAGUCGUGAAAGUAGAGACUCAAGUACUGGGCUAGAUCUUUGUGGUUUGGACUCUAGCUUUAGUUCUCUUACUGAUACACUAUCAGAACUUGGGCAAAUCUUGCAACCUUGAUAAUGUUUGGUCAUAAUAUCUUUCCUACCUACCACAUAGGGAAGGAGAUGUGGCCUUGAGGAACGCUAGUCUGUAUGAAAGCAAUUUUAAAAAUAUGAAGUACUGUGUAAAUGUAUAACUUCUCCAUUCAUUCAUUGAUUUGCAUUUAUACUGCUGUUUAACACUUAUCACAUUGUAUUGUAAUCAGAUGAAUGCAUUAACUUCUUCCCUACUCCUUGUACUUAGAAUAGUACAGAUCUCAUAGUAGGGGCUUAUAAAUAUUUGUUGAAAAAUGGCUUCUUAGAAUUAACAGUAGAUAAGGAAGACUGGAGAAAAUUUAGCUUGAGACUAGUGCAGAAUUAUACAAAUAAUGUUUGUAGUAUAAAAGAUGUUAGAGUAAAUCUACUGUCAUCUAUCUUAAUCUUCGAAUGCACUCAAUAGAAUACCACAUAUUUGACCUUGACAAAUCUUAGUAAAAAGCCAGAUGAGGGAUGUCAUCCAGUGGUUGUGGUGGGUACAGUACUUACCAGAUCUGUUUUAAAAUGCCAAGAAACUUGGUAGGAGAGGUGAAAGGGAUGAGAUAAAGAUGGAUCCCAUUUCAAUGAUUAAUGAAUACAGCAUUGUCCAGAAAGUUUAUGACUUUGGAAACCAACUUGCUAGAAACUUUGUGUCCUCUAUUGGCAGAGAAAUGCCUGGGAUGCUCUCAAGAGUUACACAGAAGGUUCAUGGGCCAGCGCUGCCUUAGUUCAACUAAACAAUCACUGUGAAUCUCCUUUGUGGAGUAUAGACAUGCCAGGCACAUGGUCUCUUACUUUGGGGAGGUUACAUUCUAGUAAUAGUGCAAGGACGUUGCUAUCAAGUUGUUUGCAAACUUAGAUUGUAAAAGAGUGUUUUUGAUACUCUUCUUCCUUCAGCCAGUGCUUGCUUCCUUCUAGGAUUUGUGAAAUCUGCUUAUAACAACAGAAAGCUAUUGUGAAACUAUAGGGUUAGGGAGAUUCCUUACAUUUCAUUUUCUUUAAUCUUUUUUUGGCAUCAGUUCCUGCUCUAAAAAGUAGGGAUAAUAGUUUCUUUACUGUGUUGGGAGUAAUUAAAACAUUUUAAGAAUGCAUCUAAAACCUUCCAGGAAUGGCAGUCAGGCAAUAAAUGUCCUUCCUCAGUUUCCCUUUGCCCCCACUAAAAUAUAAAAGGGUUCUGUUUGUCCACAUGUCCUAUAACUCAUGCAGGCCUCAAA